AGUGAACGCUGGCGGUAGGCCUAACACAUGCCAGUCGAACGGCAGCACAGUAAGAGCUUGCUCUUACGGGUGGCGAGUGGCGGACGGGUGAGGAAUACAUCGGAAUCUACUUUUUCGUGGGGGAUAACGUAGGGAAACUUACGCUAAUACCGCAUACGACCUACGGGUGAAAGCAGGGGAUCUUCGGACCUUGCGCGAUUGAAUGAGCCGAUGUCGGAUUAGCUAGUUGGCGGGGUAAAGGCCCACCAAGGCGACGAUCCGUAGCUGGUCUGAGAGGAUGAUCAGCCACACUGGAACUGAGACACGGUCCAGACGCCUACGGGAGGCAGCAGUGGGGAAUAUUGGACAAUGGGCGCAAGCCUGAUCCAGCCAUACCGCGUGGGUGAAGAAGGCCUUCGGGUUGUAAAGCCCUUUUGUUGGGAAAGAAAAGCAGCAGGUUAAUACCCCGCUGUUCUGACGGUACCCAAAGAAUAAGCACCGGCUAACUUCGUG
rnacentral:rRNA from 1 species